rnacentral:rRNA from 1 species
AGUGGGGAAUAUUGCACAAUGGGCGCAAGCCUGAUGCAGCCAUGCCGCGUGUGUGAAGAAGGCCUUAGGGUUGUAAAGCACUUUCAGUCGUGAGGAAAGGUGUGUGCUUAAUACGUACAUACUGUGACGUUAGCGACAGAAGAAGGACCGGCUAACUCCGUGCCAGCAGCCGCGGUAAUACGGAGGGUCCGAGCGUUAAUCGGAAUUACUGGGCGUAAAGCGCGCGUAGGUGGAUUGGUCAGUCAGAUGUGAAAGCCCAGGGCUCAACCUUGGAACUGCAUCUGAUACUGCUAGUCUAGAAUACAGUAGAGGGUAGUGGAAUUUCCUGUGUAGCGGUGAAAUGCGUAGAUAUAGGAAGGAACACCAGUGGCGAAGGCGACUACCUGGACUGAUAUUGACACUGAGGUGCGAAAGCGUGGGGAGCAAACAGGAUUAGAUACCCUGGUAGUCCACGCCGUAAACGAUGUCUACUAGCCGUUGGAAGACUUGAUCUUUUAGUGGCGAAGCUAACGCGAUAAGUAGACCGCCUGGGGAGUACGGCCGCAAGGUUAAAACUCAAAUGAAUUGACGGGGGCCCGCACAAGCGGUGGAGCAUGUGGUUUAAUUCGACGCAACGCGAAGAACCUUACCAACUCUUGACAUCCAGAGAAGAGGCUAGAGAUAGCUUUGUGCCUUCGGGAGCUCUGAGACAGGUGCUGCAUGGCUGUCGUCAGCUCGUGUUGUGAAAUGUUGGGUUAAGUCCCGUAACGAGCGCAACCCUUGUCCUUAUUUGCCAGCACGUAAUGGUGGGAACUCUAAGGAGACUGCCGGUGACAAACCGGAGGAAGGUGGGGACGACGUCAAGUCAUCAUGGCCCUUACGAGUUGGGCUACACACGUGCUACAAUGGCCGGUACAGAGGGCUGCAAGCCUGCGAAGGUAAGCUAAUCUCACAAAACCGGUCGUAGUCCGGAUUGGAGUCUGCAACUCGACUCCAUGAAGUCGGAAUCGCUAGUAAUCGUGGAUCAGAAUGCCACGGUGAAUACGU